AUUGAACGCUGGCGGCAGGCCUAACACAUGCAAGUCGAGCGAGCUGCGGACGUGUGCGUAAUGUCUGGGGAACUGCCCGAUAGAGGGGGAUAACUACUGGAAACGGUGGCUAAUACCGCAUACCAUCGGAUGUACCCAUAUGGGAUUAGCUAGUAGGUGGGGUAAAGGCUCACCUAGGCGACGCUCCCUAGCUGGUCUGAGAGGAUGGUCAGCCACACUGGGACUGAGACACGGCCCAGACUCCUACGGGAGGCAGCAGUGGGGAAUAUUGCACAAUGGGCGCAAGCCUGAUGCAGCCAUGCCGCGUGUAUGAAGAAGGCCUUAGGGUUGUAAAGUACUUUCAGCGGGGAGGCGUUACCCGCAGAAGAAGCACCGGCUAACUCCGUGCCAGCAGCCGCGGUAAUAC
rnacentral:rRNA from 1 species